rnacentral:rRNA from 1 species
UACGGAGGAUGCAAGCGUUAUCCGGAAUGAUUGGGCGUAAAGCGUCCGCAGGUGGCAAUGUAAGUCUGCUGUUAAAGAGUCUAGCUCAACUAGAUAAAAGCAGUGGAAACUACAUAGCUAGAGUACGUUCGGGGCAGAGGGAAUUCCUGGUGUAGCGGUGAAAUGCGUAGAGAUCAGGAAGAACACCGGUGGCGAAGGCGCUCUGCUAGGCCGCAACUGACACUGAGGGACGAAAGCUAGGGGAGCAAAUGGG